rnacentral:rRNA from 1 species
AUGAACGCUAGCGACAGGCUUAACGCAUGCAAGUCAGGGGUAACAGGGUAGCAAUACCGCUGACGACCGGCGCACGGGUGAGUAACGCGGUAUGCAACCUGCCUAUAACUGGGGAAUAGCUCCCUGAAAGGGGGAUUAACACCGCAUAACACUAUUGAUUCGCAUGGAUUAGUAGUUAAAUGUAGCGAUACAGGUUAUAGAUGGGCAUGCGUGACAUUAGCUAGUUGGUGAGGUAACGGCUCACCAAGGCUACGAUGUCUAGGGGUUCUGAGAGGAAGGUCCCCCCACACUGGUACUGAGACACGGACCAGACUCCUACGGGAGGCAGCAGUGAGGAAUAUUGGUCAAUGGGCGCAAGCCUGAACCAGCCAUGUCGCGUGCAGGAAGAACCUGCCCUAUGGGUUGUAAACUGCUUUUAUAGUAGAAGAAACACAUCUACGCGUAGAUGUCUGCCAGUAUACUAUGAAUAAGCAUCGGCUAACUCCGUGCCAGCCGCCGC